GAUUAAAGGCGUGCGCCACCACGCCCGGCUUUAAAAAGAUUUUUGUGUGUUGACUUUAUGUGUAUAUGAGUACACUGUAGCUGUACAGAUGGUUGUGAGCCUUCAUGUGGUUGUUGGGAAUUGAAUUUUAGGACUUCUGCUCACUCCAGUCCCUGCUCACUCCGGCCCAAAGUUUAUUUUUUAUUAUAGAUAAGUACACUGUUGCUGUCUUCAGACACACCAGAAGAGGGUAUCAGGUCUCGUUACAGAUGAUAGUGAGUCACCAUGUGGUUGCUGGGAAUUGAACUCAGGUCCUUCGGAAGAGCAGUCAGUGCUCUUAACCGCUGAGCCAUCUCUCCAGCCCCCAGGUUAAUUUCUUUCUAUCUAGAAGUAUUGCUUAUGUGUUAGCUGUAAAUCGUAUUUCAUACUAAAUAGACUUUCCUCCUAAAGAGAAACAAUUUCACUUUAACAUAUUUCAUCUUAUUGGUGCCAAACACCUGUCGUCUCUGGCUGAGCAUCAUUGCAUACCGGCAGAGUCACAGCUAAGUGACUUGAGUGCGGAAAGUCCCUGACCAUUACAGAAAGUUGCUCCUUUUAUUUGCCAUGUGUGUUCAGGGCAUCCUCAUGAAUCACAUUAAAGAUGCCAAGGAUUGGAGAAGACAGAAGCCUGUCCCUGUGAUGCGUUCACAGAGUGCGGAAAGGAGCGUUCUGUAGCAUCCCUUUUGGAAGUUGAUGAUACUAGUUGGUUUUUCAGAAGUGUUUAUCCCCAGCCUUACCCCUACCAUUGUCUGAAGACCAGUGUGGCAGCUGCUGUGUUGGCCCAUUCUGCGUAAGUGGCCCCUGGGCCUUUAGACUUUGCUGAACACUUCUGGGGUUUUCCCAGCCAAGCACAAUAUCUUAUAGAAUGUAAACAUUAUAAGAAAAUGGUAGUGGACUCUUUUCCCCAGGAGACUUACUAUGUAGUAAUUGACAGCACAAUUGCAUUUUAUAGGAAUUUCUGUUCCGUGCAUUUGAAUGAGCCAAAAAUACCAUGUCUGUACAUAAUAUAAUUUGAUCACAUGUAAAUCUUUAAAUACUUGGAUUCAGAGUCUUUGUUUCUUGUUUGUUGCUGUAUUUGUUUUUGUUAUUAUUGUUUUCAGAUGAAAUUUUCCUGUGUCGCCCUGGAGGGCCUGGCACUUACUGCAAUCCUCCUGCCUUACCUUCCUCCACACUGGGAUCAGAGUUUUGUACUACAUGUCCAACAAAAGGUUUUAAUUAUCAAAGUUAACAUUAUUUCAAAGUUGACUAACGGAACUAGUUAUAAAUUGUAUUAAAGAGUCUUCUACAGAAAGACCAGAAGCCUAGCUUAGCUUAAAAUAGAAAUAAAUGUUCAUUAUCUUUUUCUACUUACACCCUGCUAGCAUCAGAACAUCUGUGGGUUUUGUUGACUGUUGUGUGAUUAAUUUAGUAUUUAUUGUUACUACAACUUAAAGUUAUUUUGUGGGCCGUGUGUGUUGGCUCAGCUGGUAAAGGUGCUUGCCACCAAGCCUGAUGACCUGCGUUCAAUUCCCAGUACACACAUGGUAGAAGAAGAGAACUAACUUCUACGUAUUGUCCUCUUACCUCCACAUGUCUUCCAUGGUACAUGUACACACACACACAUACACACGCACUAAAUUUAAAUUUUAGAAAGGUCGUUUUAUGAUCUCCUGCAGCUGUUCACCCAAGUGCUUGUUAAGUGGCAGUAGUAGUGUUACUGGAGUCCCUAGCACUAACUGCUGAACUCUGGAUCCAGCUUCUUGCCUUUGUGAAAACAAAGUAGCAUCAAAUACAUAAAAUGCGAAAAUGGGUUUGUUGACAGUUAUGUCCCAAAAGUGAAGAGAAAGCUGUUCUCAGUUAGGAUACAAUUAAAAGCCAGGAAAGGUGCACAUGUAGAUGUAACCAAAACUAGAAUUAC
rnacentral:lncRNA from 1 species